rnacentral:misc_RNA from 1 species
UGAGAUAUUUAAAUGAUGUGCAUAAACCAAUUCUGAAAGCGUAAUUCUAAACAGAAUAUGCAAUUACAGAUAGUAUCAUUCAUACCAUAGUACAGUGCAUGUUAGAUAACAUAGCUGUUUGAUGUAUUAAUUCAGAGCAAUUAUAAGGGUUACGUUGCCCUACUGAGCGCAGACUUGCUAACUGCCGAGCACAGUUAUUUUGAGAUAAUUGCAUUUUAAAGUUUAAUCGUGCUUCUGCCGCUUAUGUAUGCGGCUACCGAAUUUCCAAGCCUUCAGUUUCCACCAUGAGACGAAAAUACUAUUAUACGUCAUUAUUAGUUAUAUCCGCAUACAAUUUCUUCUAAUAAUAACCACGUUUAUUCCCAGUUACGUAUACGGUGGCGCACUCUUUUCCAGGUGAACGUGUUCUCACUUUACAAACUUCUGCAAGAGGGACUUUUUACCGACCGUCGGUACAAGGCUUAGCGCGAUCAGAAUUCAUUGACGGAGCAACGUGCAUGCUUUGCGCUCGAACACAUAAAACAAUCGGAGAAAGAA